rnacentral:rRNA from 1 species
AGAGUUUGAUCCUGGCUCAGGACGAACGCUGGCGGCGUGCUUAACACAUGCAAGUCGAACGGAAAGGCCCUUCGGGGUACUCGAGUGGCGAACGGGUGAGUAACACGUGGGUGAUCUGCCCUGCACUUUGGGAUAAGCCUGGGAAACUGGGUCUAAUACCGAAUAGGACCGCGCUCUUCAUGGGGUGUGGUGGAAAGCUUUUGCGGUGUGGGAUGGGCCCGCGGCCUAUCAGCUUGUUGGUGGGGUAAUGGCCUACCAAGGCGACGACGGGUAGCCGGCCUGAGAGGGUGACCGGCCACACUGGGACUGAGAUACGGCCCAGACUCCUACGGGAGGCAGCAGUGGGGAAUAUUGCACAAUGGGCGCAAGCCUGAUGCAGCGACGCCGCGUGAGGGAUGACGGCCUUCGGGUUGUAAACCUCUUUCAAUAGGGACGAAGCGCAAGUGACGGUACCUAUAGAAGAAGGACCGGCCAACUACGUGCCAGCAGCCGCGGUAAUACGUAGGGUCCGAGCGUUGUCCGGAAUUACUGGGCGUAAAGAGCUCGUAGGUGGUUUGUCGCGUUGUUCGUGAAAACUCACAGCUUAACUGUGGGCGUGCGGGCGAUACGGGCAGACUAGAGUACUGCAGGGGAGACUGGAAUUCCUGGUGUAGCGGUGGAAUGCGCAGAUAUCAGGAGGAACGCCGGUGGCGAAGGCGGGUCUCUGGGCAGUAACUGACGCUGAGGAGCGAAAGCGUGGGGAGCGAACAGGAUUAGAUACCCUGGUAGUC